rnacentral:sRNA from 1 species
GCUGGGCAUGGUGGCACAUGCCUGCAAUCCCAGCCACUUGAGAGGCUGAGGCAGGAGGAUCGCAAGUUCAAAGCCAGCCUCAGCAAAAGCAAGGCCCUAAGCAACUCAAUGAGACUCUGUCUCUA